rnacentral:tRNA from 1 species
GCGCCGAUAGUUUAAUUGGCAAAAUAGCUGUCUCCAAAACAGCAGUUCUUUGAUCGUUGCAAAGUCGGCGUGCCA